CGUGGCUGAGUGGUAAAGCGCUUGGCUUCAGAACUGGAGUUCCCAGGUUCAAAUCCUGGUG
rnacentral:tRNA from 1 species